GAAAAAUGUGGCAAGGCCUUCUAUCACUUAUCACACCUUAACAUCCAUUACAGAACUCAUACAGGGGAGAAACCUUACAAAUGUAGUGACUGUGACAAAUCCUUUACCACACUGGCAAACCUUAGAAGACAUCACAGACUUCAUACUGGGGAGAAAACUUUCCAUAGUAAAUAAUGUGGUGUAUGCUUUUCCGAGAAUGCUGUCCUUAGGCACCACUGCAGGCUCCACUCCAGAAAAACAUUAUGAACAUGGGAAAUCUGAGAAGGCCUUUACAGAAUAUUUAAAUCUUAGAAAACAUCUAAAGUUUAUAGAGAAAUAUUAUACUAUUGGAAGCUUUUCAUUAAAACAUUAUACUUGUUCAACCUCAAAAAAUUUAUAAUGAAGACAAUGUGUUAAUCUAAAGAAUGUUACCAAACCUUUAGUUAUUCCCUGAAAUAAUAUUAGAGAGAAAUCAUAUAUGUUUGCCAUUGUGCUAUAUUCAUGCCUCACUGCACAGUAGAAAUUCCUCUCUAGAGACCCCAAAGAAAUAUCAUUGAAUUUGGCAAAGCCUGUUCCUACUAGACUUCUGGAAAUUCUUCCUGAAGGAAAACCCAAGAAAGUGCUUUAAUAAAGGCACCCUUGGUUUUUUGGUUUUUUGUUUUGUUUUGUUUUUUGUUUUUGUUUUUGUUUUUGUUUUUUGCUUGUGUGUUUGUUUUUUCACCUUCAAAAUACUCAUUCUGGAGUAAAAACCUGUCAAUCACAAGAUGGUGAGAACUUAACAGUGAUGAUCUGUGUGCUCAUGUACAGUUAGAAAAUCCCCCAAGAAUGUACAGGAAAAUUAUUUUUCAGUACUGAAGAAAGUUGACGUAUUUAGUAGAACUGCAGAGCAUAGUAACAGUAGAAAUUUCAUGUACAAAUAAUAAAACACAAAGGUUUGUAGGCAUUAGAGAAGCCAGUGUACUACAUUAGCAAAUGGUUAUAUAUAAUUGGUAUCAAUUGCUGCUCCUUCAGAGCUGAUGAACCCAAGUCAGGAGUCACGAAAGUUAGUAGGGACUGACAAUAACCAUCAAGGGACCUCAAUUGUCUGCAUAAUCUUAAUGCCAAUUUCAAGCACUCUAUGUGUCAGGGCUCCUUGGUACACAGAUUCUGCACAGAUCAAAGCCCAUUUAAUGAUCUUUCAGUAGUUUUCUUCAUUAUCAUUUAAAAACAAUUCUUAGCCAGGUAGCAGUUGCACAGGCCUUUAAUCCAAGCACUUGGGUCAGGGAGGAUAGAGGUGGGUGGAUCUCCAUGGAAGCUAGCCUGGUCUACAGAGUAAGUUCCAGGACAGCCAAAGCUACACAGAAAGACCCUGUCUCAAAGACAAACAACACACACACGCAUUCACAAAGGGAGAGAGUUCACAAAGGGAGAGAGAGAGAGAUAGAGAGAGAGAGAGAACAAUUCUUGCUACUUAAACAGAAUCCUGUCUUGGAAACCCUCUACUUUGAGAAGUUACUCUUUUAUUUGUAAUAAAUAUUGAUUGCAAGCAAACCUACUUCUGUUGACUACACCUGGUAGAGGCAUGAAAGUACUUUUAGGGAACAGCACCAUAUUUGGAGAAACUGUCUUGGAGUUUUCCCAUAAGCACUCAGAACUCUCCUUAUAUAGGUUCAUUCAUGGACCAUGUUACAACAUCUUUCCCAUUUUAUCUUUUGAACUCAGUAUGUCUAGAAUGGUUUUCACUCAAGAUGUAGACAAAUCUAAUUGUCAUUUGAUGCAUGACUAUUCUAUAAAUAAGCAAUUUAUCAACACAAUAAUAUUAGGCCAGUGAAAGCAUUAUUUGUUACGAUCUGCCAUCAGGUAUGGGAGCCUUUCUUCUAGCAAUUUAGCUACUCCAUAAGUCAUAUCCUUGUAAGAAAUAGUCAAUAAGCUAUCUGAAAAUGUUAAAAAGUCAAAACUUCCCUUGGAAAUAUUAUAAGUGGUAUUUGAUGUAUUCUCACAUGUAAUUUUAUGAUUAGAUUCUGUGGGGGUAAUACAAAAGUAAGUGGAAUUCCAAUCAUAUUUCAUAGACAUUUGGUUUUUUUUUCAUAUUUAUGAUCUGAUCCUGCACAAUUUAACUCUUGUACUUCUGAUUCUAUUUGUUCAUCAAUGCUUAUCUUACUCAUAAAUUAUGAGAAUCAUGUUACUCUUUUUGUACAAACUGUUGCAAUCAUAAUUAUUCCUGUGAUGGUAACAAUAAGCUAUUCAAUAAAGCAUUUUGUCCUUUUUAGAAAUCU
rnacentral:lncRNA from 1 species